GACGAACGCUGGCGGCGUGCUUAACACAUGCAAGUCGAACGAAGUGGCGAACGGGUGAGUAACACGUGAGUAACCUGCCCUUUACUUCGGGAUAAGCUUGGGAAACUGGGUCUAAUACCGGAUAGUAAGGGAUGGGCUCGCGGCCUAUCAGUUUGUUGGUGGGGUGAUGGCCUACCAAGACGACGACGGGUAGCCGGCCUGAGAGGGCGACCGGCCACACUGGGACUGAGACACGGCCCAGACUCCUACGGGAGGCAGCAGUGGGGAAUAUUGGACAAUGGGCGAAAGCCUGAUCCAGCCAUGCCGCGUGUGUGAAGAAGGUCUUCGGAUUGUAAAGCACUUUAAGUUGGGAGACGUUACCAACAGAAUAAGCACCGGCUAACUUCGUGCCAGCAGCCGCGGUAAUUC
rnacentral:rRNA from 1 species